AUCAGGGUCUAAGAGAAUGAUGACUGUGGGAGGCUGAGCCGAUGCCACCUCUUUGAUCGCCCAAUCUUUGCGAACUGGGCUGAAGAGGUCCUUGCAGUCCUUCAUCACCGACCUCGCCGACCUCCUCCUCUUCGUUGUUUGACUCUAGGGGCCAUAAGUCGAGGUCAAAAAAGUGGCUCCAAACCUUUCCCUUGAAGUCCUCGAUCCUCUGUAG
rnacentral:lncRNA from 1 species